rnacentral:snRNA from 1 species
GCCUUCGGGCAUUUGGUCAAUUUGAAACAAUACAGAGAAGAUUAGCAUGGCCCCUGCACUAAGGAUGACACAUGCAAACAAAGAGACGCAAACAGUUUUU